CAGCAUGUGUGCAACGGCUGUGGCUGGCUGCAGCCUCGGGACCUCCAACCGCACGAGAGGCAACCUGCAGGCUCCGACAGCG
ensembl:snoRNA